AGAGUGACGCAGCCCAGCCAUGCAGGAAGCUGUCUCCACACGCUGCUGGCAAAGUUAAGGCAACAGUUUUUCUCCUCCAAGAAUAAACGAUAAAACUAAUACAGAGCAGCAGUAAGUAAUAGCAGC
rnacentral:lncRNA from 1 species